rnacentral:lncRNA from 1 species
AAAAGGUACACUCUUGGUCUAGUUAAUUACUUAAUAUGUGUGUGAUUUUAUUUUCAGUGGCAUCAAUAAGUUCCCAAAACCAAUUUUUAAUCAAUAGUCAUGGACUUUGCCAACAUAAAGAUCAGCAACUAGAAGGUAGAACUAAUUCAUCAAGCAAAGCAAAAAAGAAGAAGAGGAACAAUGUAUGCUAAGAGGAAGUAGAGGACCAUGAAAAACAUACCUGGUCCAAUAGCGAGCAAUGUUUUUAUCCAGAGGCAACCUGUCCAAAUAACAAACUUCAUCAUCCUCUAAAUGUGAUCAGAGUUUUUUAUAUAUAUUACUUUUUAGGACACCAGACAGGCCUUCAAGGCUUAGGGCUAGGCCUCUGUAGGCGAGCCGGUUAAUUGCUGUUUUAUCGAGAAAUAAAACUAAGGCUGAUGACAUAUAUGUAGACGAGUCAUAAUUCGAAAGUUAAAAAAAAUAAACUCAAUUUGGCCAAUGUCAGUAUAUUCCUCUACUUACAAAAGCAAUCUUAGUUUUCUCUGCGAUCUAAAUUACAAAAAUAUAUGGAUAGUUUAGCUUUAAAGAUUAAUUUUCUUUUACAAAACUGCAUCUUUUCCUCACUUAAAAAGCAACUUUACGCUUCCAUAUGGUCUAAUCAUCCAAAUGAGUUUAUGUUAAGAAACAAGUGAAUCAUAAAAACUAUAGAUACUACCUCAACAUAAAACCAAAAUCACAUUUUCUGUGAGAAAAUAUUAAAGUUUUUGGAAUUGAGACAUAGACGUGCAGAUUAAUAGCUUUGUGAAACAUAUAUCUUUCCCCACUUGCCACCAGAACUGGCAGUCCAAUUCUUCUUAGUUCAACAUCAAUAAACACUCUAAUGCGUAACUUACAAAAAAAAAAUAAGGGAAUAAAAGUAUAAGUCGAUAUACCUGACCAGCCUUAGUUCAAGCACUUUGCAGGAAAGUUAUUUCACCCAGGAUUACAUUUUAUGUUGCUUUUGUAAUAUGUAUCAGACUAUCAGAAGAUAAUCUGUUUUUCUUUUGCUGGUGUUUUUUUGUCACAGUAUCUCGCAUGUCGUGUAUUUCUCAANGGGGGGGGGGGGGGGGGGGGGGGGGGGGGGAGUACACUCUUGGUCUAGUUAAUUACUUAAUAUGCCUGAUUUUAUAUCCAGUGACAUCAAUAAGUUCCCAAAACCAAUUUUUAAUCAAUACUCGUGGACUUUGCCAACAUAAAGAUCAGCAAUUAGAAGCUAAAACUAAUUCAUCAAGCAAAGCAAAAAAAAAAAAAAAGAAGCGAUUAUGCUAAGAGGAGUAUGUGACCAUGAAAAACAUACCAGGUCCAAUAGCGAGCACCAUUUUUAUCCAGAGGCGACCUGUCUAAAUAACAAACUUCAUCAUCCUCUAAAUGUUUUUAUAUAUGAAUACAGCAGAUGUCAAUUUUUCUGCAUAAUUUUAGACCAAUAAGAUAAAGACAGCGUUAUGUUUUUCUUGAGUAGUUGGCAUACCGAGACAGCUUAAAGCCU